CCCCUUCAGUGUGGAGGCAGGCAUGUUUUGGUAGAGAUGGGUGGCUUUAGAACGGGGUGAUUUUGGUCUGCAUGCUGCUUUAUUAUCUACUAUCUCUCUUUGAAUAUAUUUUUGUAAUGUCUCUUCUCAUUUGCCUGAAGUAUGGUUGAUUGCUUCUACAUGAGGUGCCUGCUUAGUUCUUGUGACAAAGCAUUAAGAGACAUCAUGGAAAUAAACCUGCUGCUGGAGAGAGGAGGGGGCCUGCUUGCUUCUUCCUUGGAUUCUCCCAGUUCUUGAGAGACUUGGAAACUGCUGGCUGGUCUUGUUUUAGCCUCUGAUUUAAUGGCUUGAUCCAUAAAAGAGCUUUUAGACGCUUCGUGAUUCAGUGUGUCACAUUACCUAUUCAGUCUUCAGCUUCUGUGAUUGUAUCAAAAUUUUAGCUAAGUAUUUCUUCGUUUGUUUGUAGGGAUUUUGUGGUGCCUUUUUUUUUUUUUUUGUGUUAGACAGGAAUACUUGAAAACUCAGAAUCUGGUGUUUUAUAUAAGAAAUGCACUGUCCUUACAAAUUCCACAUCUCUUUCAAAAAAUAAGCUAUAAAUAAGCCUUCCUUUUUUUUUUUUCUAGAUUGGUUCUGAUUAGAAGUUAUCAAACUCGCCUCAUUUUGAGCUUGUUGCUUCCUAAGUUAUUGCAAUAAGUGACUUUGAAUACAUCAUGAUGUUUAUAAAGAAUCCUCUGUGAAGUAAUUUCUGUUUAAUUGUAGAAUCUUUGCAAUCAGGAUUGGUUUAGAUUUCCUUACUGGAAUGAGAAAGACAAUGAAUUUGACCCACAAUUUCCUGCUCAGUUGGCAUCAUGCUGUUCAAGAAGAAAAUGCUUAUCACUUAAUCAGAGUGGUUUCAUAAACUUAGCAGUUCAGUGAUAUUGCAAAAAGUGUCUUAAAUGGUGUCGUAAAUUCCCCUUCAGACAUGUUCUUUCCAGAUUCAAUAAUUAAAAUGUAAAUUAUGUACCUUCAUUGAACAGAAACCUGCUACCCUCUCUAAUAGCAGUUUUUGUGUGUUAUGGAAUCACACCUUUGACAAAAAACCAUCUCAAUCUGACUGGAGAUCAGAAGGAACCUUGUAAUCAAGGAUUCUCAGAAGGUGCAAUUCAGUCAUUAAAUCUGUGCUCUAUGGCAGGUCACCAGAGUGGGUGGUGUCCCCUAGCUUAAUAAAAUAUAAAUCAGUAGCUGGAAUGUUGACCCAUCUCUGCAAUUAGGUAUACUAAAAACAUUUUACAAUAAACUUUUGGUAUAGACAUGAUGCUUUUUUUCUUUCGGCAACAGACACAAUGUGGGGUGGUGUUGUUUUUGUGUGGUUUUUUUUUUUUUUUUUGUUUUUUUUUUUUUUUUUUUUUUUUUUAAGUGGAGUGCGUGUCUGUUCAAAUUUUAUUUCUUCAGAAACAUAAUUUGUGAUGCAGGGUGGACCCUCUGAGUGAUGACGAAGUGACCAGCACUCUAAAAAGCUCUUUUCUUAAUGUUUUAGAUGAAAAACUGCAGCAUGCUCUGUCCUGAUCAGCAGCCUGUUUCUAGGUCCCUCCUAACUGCAUUUUCCAGACUCAGGAAACACUUCUCUGCAUUGCUCUGAUUCCCGACUGACUUCAGGGCUUGUCCACCAGACCAAUACACACUUGGAGAACUGAGACCCAGCAUUGCUUUCUAAAGCUCCCCGUUGCUCGGCCCCCUGCAUAAUGUGUCUGUCCUGCAUGUGAAGCAGGCUUCUCAUUUUCUGACCGACCAUACUCCAGUGUGACAGCAGUGCCCAUCUCUGUGAUGCCCUGGGGAGGGGCUGCCCAAAUUCAGGUCCCUGGCAAGGACGUGGCUGCCUGGCACCAGCUCUGCUGGCUCAGCUGGGGGCUCCAGGAUCCUGGACUGAAGCACCAGCCACAGCUUUGCCGUGCUGGCAUGGGAUAGGCAGGGAAAGGCAGAGGGGAUGCAGCAGAUCCGAGAAGGGUUUGCUCUGCUGUGGCAGCGUGAAGGGAACCCCUGUCAUGUGCAAGCUCCUGUGCUCCUCCCAGCAGCGCUGCAUGCUGGCACCUGCUUAAAUAAUGCCUCUUUCCCCUUGCUGGGGUAGCCCGUGAGGAUUUGUGACUGCACUGAAACUGGAAAAGGAAAGAGCACGGCAUAGGCUUGUGUUCUCUUGGUCCUGAAUCAUCCAACAUCGACACAGGGAAAAAAAAAAAAAAAAAAAAAUUUCCUGUUUUUCCUCUAAAUUAUUUGCUUGAUUAUCUACUCUGUCUGGUGUUGUAAUGCAAUCCCCACCCCCAAGUGAGCUUUUCUGUAUAAGGAAAAGGGUUUCAGUUUACCUUUGAGCAUUUUAGAAAGUUUAACUAGAAUGUUCUGUGCCCUUUUCAUCAGUGCCAGCCCAGGAGCAGUGACUGGGCUCUGAGAGUGUACCUCAAAAGCUGUUGCCAGUCUCAUUGGGCUCAGUGCCAAACAGCCCACCUAGACCAUUAAGUACUGAAGGGACUACACAAAAGAACUCAAGGGCUUUUUUGGACUGCCUUACCAGUGCCAGAAUGCUCUCUACACU